rnacentral:rRNA from 1 species
CACCGCCCGUCACACCAUGGGAGUUAGGUGAACCUGAAAACGCCUUUGUAACCUCCUUAUCUUCGGAUUAGGGGGAACUAAGCGUUUAUGGUUUGACUGAUGACUGGGGUG